rnacentral:lncRNA from 1 species
UCAGUCUUGAAAGAUGGGAAGAUCAGGAGCAGUCUGGAGUCAUGGUAUAUGAAUGAACUAGUGAGAGUGGGCACAAAGUCUGAAGAUCUUUGUAGUGCAGCUAAUGUCUAAGGGAGAAUAUACCUACCCUAGAAGAGACAUUAAACAACCAGGGAAGCUUACUGCAGGAAAGAAAUCCCUCAGAGUCCUGAAGAUACAGCUUUCAGAACUUAGGUGAAGCAAGAGGACUCAAGGUGUGCAAGAAUGGACAGUACAGAAUGCUCUGCUACACUGCUCAGAUUCCCCCUUCAGGAAGGAAGGACAAAUUCACUCAACUUCUGGGAGCAUUGAUGGUUGAGCUCUCAGCCAUCAGACCUUUUUGGAAGUUGCCCUCUUCUGAAAAGAGGCACAUUGCCCAAGAUCUUUCCUCCUCCAGAGCGCAGGCUGCACCUGAAGUCUGAUUGAUGUGGGGUAUGAUGGUCUGGUCUCCUUUCCCCAUCUAAAGGACUGUUCUAACCUCAGGGCUCUCCUUGAGUUUCCUUAGUUAGUUCUUAUUACUAUGUUGCAGUCCAACUUCUUCUUUGGCCUAAUUCUACUUUCCUCCCAUUCCCCAAUUGUUGAUCCUGACAGCAAUUUCCCCCCAAAUUUCUGUAAACUAAGCAUGAUCUCAGAGUCACCUGACCUGCAACAUUAUUACAUACACUAUAGUCCGUGCACUUAAAGAUUUAGUGAAAGUAUGCUGCUGAAGCUUGCCAGAACUUCCCUUCUUGUUCAACCAAUCUACAAAGGCCAAAAAUAUUUUCACAGGCCCCCAAAAGAUGAACUCCAAUCUGCUGCCCCUAAACGCAUUCUCCACUGUCUGGAAGAUGUGCAAAGGCAACGGCACAGCGUUCUCCAUCUCAAAUCCUUCAAAGUGCUGUCAGAAUAAAAGAAUCCCCACCAAAAGCCCCAGGGAAAUCUAUCUGUCUGUAUGGUAUGGUAAUGACUGAGGUUAUUCCAGAUAGGAUUCUGGGAGAAACUCAGCUAUUGAAAUCUAAUGAAUGGAACUGAGAAUUUCUUGUUAUAAUACUGUUUGUUUGAUUGAAUAUAUCCUUGCAUAUAGGAAGACAUAAAAAUAAAUAAUAAAAGCAA